rnacentral:lncRNA from 1 species
CCGUAUACACAUAACGCGACGCCAUAACGGAAAUUGGAUAAUAAAUCUCUGUGUUUUACUUUGUAAUUUAAACAUAAUUAUUUCACAAUCUUGCAAUUCAAACAACGGUUUGUUGGGAAACAAUUUCCAAAUAUUUUAUCUCCGAUUCUGGGGGAAUAUAUUUUUAAUUUGGCGUCGAUUUAUUUUAGAGACGGUAGAUGGAUUGCCUGAAAAUUGGCCUUGCCAGUGGAACUCCGGACAGAUACCGUUUGUUUUUAAUUUUUAUUCGAUAGGCAUUAAGCGAUUAUCAAGCCUCGUGAAAAAAGGUCACAGUUACUUAGAAAAGCGGUCUUGUUUAAAAUUUACUGAACACCACCCGAUAGACGCCGCAAAAAUGAAGAACUUUACUUAUCUUUUCUAUAAUUAUUCCGGGGUGCUUGAGAGUUGUUGCUUACAUUAUUAUACCAAACCUUUUGGAAGACGGUUAGUACUAAUAACGCCAGUAUGUACCCUACCGUCUGAGGUAGCUCACGCCGCUCUCCACGCCAUGGGCCUAUCGCAUAGGAAAUACGAGCUCUUCAAUGAAGUCACCACCAAGGCUAUGCUGUUCCCAACCGAGUGCCACGAUGCGGAACAAAAGAAAAGAAUAUUUGAUAGAAUUCAUUAAAA